rnacentral:rRNA from 1 species
ACGCUGGCGGCGUGCCUAAUACAUGCAAGUAGAACGCUGAAGGAGGAGCUUGCUUCUCUGGAUGAGUUGCGAACGGGUGAGUAACGCGUAGGUAACCUGCCUGGUAGCGGGGGAUAACUAUUGGAAACGAUAGCUAAUACCGCAUAACAGUAGAUGUUGCAUGACAUUUGCUUAAAAGGUGCAAUUGCAUCACUACCAGAUGGACCUGCGUUGUAUUAGCUAGUUGGUGGGGUAACGGCUCACCAAGGCGACGAUACAUAGCCGACCUGAGAGGGUGAUCGGCCACACUGGGACUGAGACACGGCCCAGACUCCUACGGGAGGCAGCAGUAGGGAAUCUUCGGCAAUGGACGGAAGUCUGACCGAGCAACGCCGCGUGAGUGAAGAAGGUUUUCGGAUCGUAAAGCUCUGUUGUAAGAGAAGAACAGGUGUGAGAGUGGAAAGUUCACACUGUGACGGUAUCUUACCAGAAAGGGACGGCUAACUACGUGCCAGCAGCCGCGGUAAUACGUAGGUCCCGAGCGUUGUCCGGAUUUAUUGGGCGUAAAGCGAGCGCAGGCGGUUAGAUAAGUCUGAAGUUAAAGGCUGUGGCUUAACCAUAGUACGCUUUGGAAACUGUUUAACUUGAGUGCAAGAGGGGAGAGUGGAAUUCCAUGUGUAGCGGUGAAAUGCGUAGAUAUAUGGAGGAACACCGGUGGCGAAAGCGGCUCUCUGGCUUGUAACUGACGCUGAGGCUCGAAAGCGUGGGGAGCAAACAGGAUUAGAUACCCCUGGUAGUCCACGCCGUAAACGAUGAGUGCUAGGUGUUAGACCCUUUCCGGGGUUUAGUGCCGCAGCUAACGCAUUAAGCACUCCGCCUGGGGAGUACGACCGC